rnacentral:rRNA from 1 species
AGCGGCGGAUGGGUGAGUAACACGUGGGGAACCUGCCCCUAAGUCUGGGAUACCAUUUGGAAACAGGUGCUAAUACCGGAUAAUAAAGCAGAUCGCAUGAUCAGCUUUUGAAAGGCGGCGUAAGCUGUCGCUAAGGGAUGGCCCCGCGGCGCAUUAGCUAGUUGGUAAGGUAACGGCUUACCAAGGCGACGAUGCAUAGCCGAGUUGAGAGACUGAUCGGCCACAUUGGGACUGAGACACGGCCCAAACUCCUACGGGAGGCAGCAGUAGGGAAUCUUCCACAAUGGACGCAAGUCUGAUGGAGCAACGCCGCGUGAGUGAAGAAGGUUUUCGGAUCGUAAAGCUCUGUUGUUGGUGAAGAAGGAUAGAGGUAGUAACUGGCCUUUAUUUGACGGUAAUCAACCAGAAAGUCACGGCUAACUACGUGCCAGCAGCCGCGGUAAUACGUAGGUGGCAAGCGUUGUCCGGAUUUAUUGGGCGUAAAGCGAGCGCAGGCGGAAAAAUAAGUCUAAUGUGAAAGCCCUCGGCUUAACCGAGGAACUGCAUCGGAAACUGUUUUUCUUGAGUGCAGAAGAGGAGAGUGGAACUCCAUGUGUAGCGGUGGAAUGCGUAGAUAUAUGGAAGAACACCAGUGGCGAAGGCGGCUCUCUGGUCUGCAACUGACGCUGAGGCUCGAAAGCAUGGGUAGCGAACAGGAUUAGAUACCCUGGUAGUCCAUGCCGUAAACGAUGAGUGCUAAGUGU